UACGCGAUCUCUUUAGGUGAUUUCAAGGCGAAUCCAUUGUUCUUGCGUUCUUAUUGAAAACGACUACAAAUCUGUUGAUUUUUUCUUCAAAUCGCCCAACAAAGUCUGCUAUUUCACGACUUGCAACACUUUUCUAGGUCGUUCAAAUACCGAAAACCGAUUUGUCAAAAAUGAAUACAAAGAGAAUUUCUGAAGCUCCCAUCUUGAAUUCUCGUGACGAGUUUCCUCCCCAGAGACCAUUACAAUUGAACUGAUUCAUAUAGAAGUGUCAAAGUAUCCAUGGAUGAUCUUGAACUCAAUUCUCCUUCAGUUUGUCAAGAAUCAAAGGCCAAAGCCAAGGAAGUUCAAGAAAGAGUGUUGCAAGAACAAUAAAUGGAACAAGAAGAGGAUGAAGUGAUGAGUUCUUAUGUCAUUGAGAUUAAUCCUUACAUUGGGGAAAGGACAAGCGAAGAGCUUAGCGUUGAUGAAGCAAUUGCAUGGGCCAAAGAGAAGUUUCAAACACAGUUUUUCCGAGUCUCUAUUUGUGUUUAUUAUUUAUAAUCUCUACUGUUGCAUGUCUGCCAAGAGAAUUUAUGUAAAGAUUGCAUAUCACCGAAGCAUUUUCUCAACAGUUUGAGGAGUUUUGCCUUCACAAUUCACUAGUGUAGAUUGAACUUGAAAAUCUGAUUUAUUUACAUUUUCAGAUCCUGUGAUACAACUUUGAAAGUCGAAAAUCAUAGAAUUGGUCCCCUCUACUGCAAUAUAAUUUACUAUAAA